GCUCUACACAGCAGUCUCCCGAAGGCAAAAUGGCUUGUGGGUGGACACAGCCCUGCAGUGGACUUUUACAGGUCAUCUCAAGGCGUCGGUCAGCGCGGCAGAGUCGGGAACCUGCCAUCCUAGAGCAAUACGCCCCGAGUGACAGCCCUGACAACCGGAGUGAUGGAUCGGGACUGGAAAAGUGGUGCUGGGAGCCAGGCAGUGACACCAGCGCGCCUCCACUGGCCGCCGAGCGCACGGAGAAGUGGGCUCCCCAGAGUUCGGCACCCAAAGGACCAACUUCGCCUCCGGAAAAGCGGCGGAUCCGGAACUUGGAUGUCAGGACUAUGACUACGUAAAAUCUCUGCCCAGGGCGAAGCUAGCAAUGCACACUGUAUCAGAAAGGCGCAGGGAGUCGGGAAGGGUAUUGUUAUUUUUAAUUAAAAGUUUUUAUCCCGAAA